rnacentral:rRNA from 1 species
UACGAAAGGGGCUAGCGUUGUUCGGAAUUACUGGGCGUAAAGCGCACGUAGGCGGCCUUGUAAGUUGGGGGUGAAAGCCCGGGGCUCAACUCCGGAACUGCCUUCAAGACUGCAAAGCUAGAGGACGCGAGAGGUUAGCGGAAUUCCGAGUGUAGAGGUGAAAUUCGUAGAUAUUCGGAAGAACACCAGUGGCGAAGGCGGCUAACUGGCGCGUUUCUGACGAUGAGGUGCGAAAGCGUGGGGAGCAAACAGG